rnacentral:lncRNA from 1 species
AGUGCGUCUAGGGCCCAGCGCCGAUCUCCGGGGCCACCCGGUGGCGAAAAACGCGCAAGUGCACCCCCGGUUCUCUGCCUCGUGGGGACGGAUCUGGGACCCGAAGGCCAGCCGUGGUUCCAGACGAGCGGUGUGGCCGUGGCGGCGGCGUCCCCGGGCAGACGGGGGUUCAGGUCCGCGUCCGCUGCUCCAGGUUUCCCAGUAUUCAGUGAAACCUGCCAACCAGGAAAAGGACUGUUUAUCCUUUGAGGAUGUGGCUGUGUACUUCUCCUGGGAGGAAUGAACACUGCUUGAUGACUCAAAAGAUCCUGCACCAGACUGUGAUGUCAGAGAUCUGAACAUCAUGUCUUUGAUGGGACUUAUAUCUUCUGGGAUCCAUGACAUGACUCAGCUGGAGUUUUGGGGAGAGCCCUCUGUGCUUGCAUUGAGAUUCCUGACUCCAGGUACACUCCUUUCUAAGAAAGACCCACUUCACUAAUCCUCUUGGAGACAAAGUGAUUAUGAAACAAAGAGUAAUAACGCAGGAAGACUAUGACAUUUUUCAUUUUGGGAAUCUCUCACAACAUCUUGGGAUUAAGCUGAAGUUAGGAAAGUUCAGCCCAUAUUUUUCACAUGGUCGACACUUUCACUUAUACGUAGACAUGAUUGAAGUGGCCACAGGAAGUAGAAAGAUGCCAUCCUCUGUGUGCAGUGCGGAAUGUAGUCCUGGAUUCAGAAGAUUGUGGAAGGAGGGAAUGGCAGCCUGCUGUUUUGUUUGCAGCCCCUGCCCUGAAAAUGAAAUUUCUAAUGAGACAACGAUGGCCAUGAAGGACUGCCAUACCACCAAUAGCUAGGUCUCCUAGAAAUAGUCACUCCUGAAUCCACCAGUCAGAACUACAGAGCACAGGAGUCCAUACCAGUGGAAGAAGUCCUUUUCUCCAGGUCCUCUUCUCGCUCCAAUUCUAUCAAGCCCUGUUACAGGAUAUUUGAUUACUGUACCAAGAAAACCUACUUGUUCACAAAAUAUAGAAGGCUUAAAUAGAUGUCAGGUGCAGUAAGGUGUGUCCUGAAGAGAUGAAGUUUAAGUGUGCCUCUAAAUGCCUCCAUAGAUAAAAAUGCUAAAGAACAGAAAUUGUUUUUGGAGGUGUCUUAUGUUCUUUGCUUAUGACUCAAGCCAAAGUCAGCUGGAUGGGCUUGAAGGUGAAAGGGUUUGGCUCUACUGAGUUGGCUUGUAGCCCCCACUAGGAAGGUAACAUGGUUCAGCCUGCCAAAGGGUGGAGGGCAGGAGCUAGAGACUUUGCUAGCAAUUGGACUUUGGGAGCUCUCUUGCUCUCUCUUUUGGCCUGGAAUCCAAGUAAAAAAUAGGGGUUCUCUCUCUGGGCUUUUCAGAAACCAAAGAGAAGCAGCUGGCAGGACACAGGUAAGACAGUAUUCUAGGAAAGAGAGAUAAGGUGUCCUCUUGGGUUUGGAGUAGCUCAAGAGAACAGUAGACUAGCUGGGUAGAAUGAUAUAGAUAGAAUGAGAUUUUUAUAAAUUAUAAAAUCAGGCUUUAAAAUGGAUAUUUUGUAUAUAGUUAAGAAAAUAAAGUUACCUUACUGAGCUUGCAGGUGUUUAACUUCA